CGUCUGCACGCUCCCCCUCUCUCUCUCCCGGUCCAGCCUCACGCCGCCGCCGAGGUUCCACCAACGCAGCCGUCGUCGCGGAUCCGCCAUCGCUGCACAGCUUCUCCUCCGUCACAGUCUUCUCUCGCCAAACUCCCGGAAGUGAAGAAUUGAGGUGUGGGGCUGUCAAUGUUAGCAACAGAGUGCCGAAACUCAUCUGCCGGAAUCCGACAGAUUCAUUUUCAUGAGAUAAGAUUCUUAAUUUAUGCUUACCUUGGUUGUAGGACUUGGAUUAUAUAUUUUAUAUGAAUUUGCUGAUCCUUGAACAAUUAUCUUGCUACUUGAGAUUUGAUGGUGAAACACGGUAUUAAACUUGCUGUGUAUUCUUAAUUUCUGAUUUGGGCAGAUUUUAAUUUCUCUUUAUAUAUGCAAACAUAUGUGCAAGAAGAGAAAGGUUUGGGAUUUACCUUCUUAUGUGGAAUAAAGUGUUGUUGGAUUGAGGACUUGAUCUUACAAUUAUCUGCAACUCUCCUUCCUCUAUUCAUGUUGGGUUGGGGUGUGUUGAGAACUUAGAAUUUGAUGGUGAUGUGGGUGAGACAAAAAGAUUUGUAUAUAUGUACAUAUACAUGAAAGAUGCAAGUGGCGUAUCUUGCAAGAAUAAUAUGCAAGUGAUAAGAUGCAAGUGGAGACCUAUCUUUUAAAAUAUUACAGAAUAGGAUAUGAUUUUACAAUAUGAUUUUAGGAUAUGCUCUGUCAGAGGAUAGGAUAUGAUUUUAGGAUAUAAUUUGAUAUGAUUUCUUCGGCCAUUCAAUUAAUGCAACAUUUAAUGAUGCUGAUAUUACUUGAUUCUAUCAUACCAUUCUCUCCCUUUUUUUCUUCUUUUUUUUAUUUGCUUAUUAAUUUAACUAUUAGAGUAUUUGUUCACUUAUUCAUUUAAUUGGUGUAGGUAUACUCGGUUCCUGUUCGUGGCCGUUCGUGUUGAAGUACCCGCUUCCAUACGAUGUAUAAAUUAAAUUUUGUUGGACUUUUGUUGGAUAUAUCGGACAUUAAAAUUUUUAUUUGGUGUUAUUUUUUUA